CGUCCGAAAAUAACGGAUUGUCGUGGUGGCGCUCGGCUAGCGCGCGGCCUAAAAGGUUGCUGUUCAUGCAAGCGGUCGUGCCAGGAGCAGCCGGUAUGUCUAGGUAGACUGCCGCAUUGGGCUGGUCGUCCACGGGCGAGUCAAACGGCGCCACCAUCAUGAAAAAGUGACAUUGGGGCGACAUGGUGGCGACAACGAUCGCACACAUUUUGGCCGACUGUCCUGCGGCAUCGGGCCGCGACCCGAAAUCGAGCGGCCACAUUGGCGGCUCGCGUGCGACGGCAUCCUGGAUCAUUUUGACGGCGUCAAACAGGCGCGUCUCAAAGUCCAUGUCGCGAGGACGUGCAUGCGUCUUGUGGCCCCGCAAUCCAAGUUCCCGGAGAACGGCCAGAGGAUGCGGGAAGGAGCCCACACCGACGCCCACCCAUGGCAGCGCCGGCUGCGCAUUGACCAUCGUCUCCCACAAGGGCAUGUGCGCCUGGAGGGUCGCCGCAAGAAGGGCGUCGGUGAGCGUGUCGUUGGCGGCCUUGAGACCCGCGUCGCACGCCAGGACAGCGAGCCACUGUUUUUCGUCAUCCGUGGCAGCACUCGGGUCGCGUGUAAGCACCGCCAUGCGAUGCCACAGGGUCGUCAGCGCCGGCUCGCCAGCAUGCUCUGCCAUUCCUUUUUUUUCAAUCUAGUUGUGUGUUUCAAGGUGCACACGCAACCGAGUUGGCGCGUAUCUCGAAAGCCGACAUAAUGCGCCAUUUGGGUCUAGUCCAUUGGGUCGUGAGAUUGACACGAAUAAACAAAAACAG
rnacentral:lncRNA from 1 species